rnacentral:rRNA from 1 species
AUGGAGACGGGCAUCGGAUCCGUGGACGGGCCCAAGGGGGCGCCGAGCUGCGCGGUGGGGUGCCCGGCGACGUUCCCGGCGUCGUCGCCCACCUUCGUCGGCUCCCCGGAGGCCACGCUGGGGCGCCACCUUGCGCGGCGCCUGGUGCAGGUCGGCGUGGGCGACGUGUUCGCCGUGCCGGGCGACUUCAACCUGACCCUCCUCGACUACCUCGUCGCCGAGCCCGGGCUGCGCCUCGUCGGCUGCUGCAACGAGCUCAACGCCGGCUACGCCGCCGACGGUUACGCGCGCGCUAAGGGCGUCGGUGCGUGCGCCGUCACCUUCACCGUUGGCGGGCUCAGCGUGCUCAACGCCAUCGCCGGCGCGUACAGCGAGAACCUCCCCUUGAUCUGCAUCGUCGGCGGGCCCAACUCCAACGACUACGGAACUAACCGGGUUCUUCAUCACACCAUCGGCCUCCCCGAUUUCUCUCAGGAGCUGCGGUGCUUCACGCCGGCAGCGUGCUACCAGGCCGUCGUCAACAGCCUCGACGACGCCCACGAGCAGAUCGACAAGGCUAUCUCCACGGCUCUCAAGGAGAGCAAGCCGGUCUACAUCAGCGUCAGCUGCAACCUCCCCAGCGUCCCCCACCCCACCUUCAGCCGCGACCCCGCCCCCUACUUCCUCGCACCAAGGAUGAGCAACCAGAUGGGCCUGGAGGCGGCGGUUGAGGCGACGGUGGCCUUCCUGGACAAGGCGGUGAAGCCGGUGAUGGUGGCGGGGCCCAAGCUGCGGGUGGCCAAGGCGGGCGCGGCGUUCGCCGAGCUGGCGGACGCGAGCGGCUACGCCGUGGCAACCAUGCCGUCGGCCAAGGGGCUGGUGGCGGAGACGCUGCCGCGCUUCAUCGGCACCUACUGGGGCGCGGUGAGCACGGCCUUCUGCGCCGAGAUCGUCGAGUCGGCGGACGCCUACCUCUUCGCCGGCCCCAUCUUCAACGACUACAGCUCCGUGGGCUACUCGUUCCUGCUCAAGAAGGAGAAGGCGGUGAUCGUGCAGCCGGACCGCGUCACCGUCGGCAACGGCCCGGCCUUCGGCUGCAUCAUGAUGAAGGACUUCCUGGCGGAGCUGGGCAAGCGCCUCAAGAAGAACACCACCGCCUACGAGAACUACAAGAGGAUCUGGGUGCCCGAGGGGCAGCCGCCGGAGAGCGAGCCCGGAGAGCCGCUGCGCGUCAACGUGCUAUUCAAGCACAUCCAAAAGAUGCUCACUGGCGACAGCGCCGUCAUCGCCGAGACCGGCGACUCGUGGUUCAACUGCCAGAAGCUCAAGCUCCCCGACGGCUGCGGGUACGAGUUCCAGAUGCAGUACGGCUCCAUCGGGUGGUCCGUCGGGGCGCUGCUCGGGUACGCGCAGGGCGCCACCGACAAGCGCGUCAUCGCCUGUAUCGGCGACGGCAGCUUCCAGGUGACGGCGCAGGACGUGUCCACCAUGCUCCGCUGCGGCCAGAACAGCAUCAUCUUCCUCAUCAACAACGGCGGCUACACCAUCGAGGUCGAGAUCCACGACGGGCCAUACAACGUCAUCAAGAACUGGAACUACACCGGCCUCGUCGACGCCAUCCACAACGGCGACGGCAACUGCUGGACCGCAAAGGUCACAUGCGAGGAGGAGCUGACGGCGGCCAUCGAGACGGCGACCGGGGACAAGAAGGACUGCCUCUGCUUCAUCGAGGUGGUGGCGCACAAGGACGACACCAGCAAGGAGCUCCUCGAGUGGGGAUCCAGGGUCUCCGCCGCCAAUUCCAGGCCACCCAACCCGCAGUAG